rnacentral:rRNA from 1 species
CAGCCGUAAACUAUGCUCGCUAGGUGUCAGGCAUGGCGCAACCGUGUCUGGUGCCGCAGGGAAGCCGUGAAGCGAGCCACCUGGGAAGUACGGCCGCAAGGCUGAAACUUAAAGGAAUUGGCGGGGGAGCACAACAACGGGUGGAGCCUGCGGUUUAAUUGGACUCAACGCCGGACAACUCACCGGGAACGACAGCAAUAUGUAGGCCAGGCUGAAGACCUUGCCUAAAUCGCUGAGAGGAGGUGCAUGGUGUAGACGUCCU